CCGGCGAAGUGAAGCGGCAAAAGCUCAAAUUUGAAAUCUGCGUAAGCCGAGUUGUAAUUUGAAGAUGGCUACUUUGGUAAUGGCUCUUGUCUAUGUUCCUUGGAACAGGACGUCACAGAGGGUGAGAAUCCCGUGCGAUGAGAUGUCCAUUACCGUGUAAAGUGCUUUCGAAGAGUCGAGUUGUUUGGGAAUGCAGCUCUAAGUGGGUGGUAAAUUCCAUCUAAAGCUAAAUAUUGGCGAGAGACCGAUAGCGAACAAGUACAGUGAUGGAAAGAUGAAAAGAACUUUGAAAAGAGAGUGAAAAAGUACGUGAAAUUGUUGAAAGGGAAGGGCUUGAGAUCAGACUUGGUAUUUUGUAUGGCUUGCUUUCGGGCGGGUCCUCUGCAGUUUACUGGGCCAGCAUCGGUUUGGGUGGCAGGAUAAUAGCAUAGGAAUGUGGCUCUACUUCGGUGGAGUGUUAUAGCCUUUGUUGAUACUGCCUGCCUAGACCGAGGACUGCGUCUUUUGACUACGAUGCUGGCAUAAUGAUCCUAAGCCGCCCGCUAGA
rnacentral:rRNA from 1 species